rnacentral:miRNA from 1 species
UUUAGAGACAGGGUUUUGCUAU